CGAUAUUGUGAAAGGUGUAUCGAUCGAUAUUCCUAUAGAAUAAUUAAUCGACACUUUCUACAGAUCAACAUGCGAGAGCUGAGAUCUUAGAUCUAGUGAUAGAUAAUCUAGCCAUGCGAGAGCUGGUAGAUUAUUGUUAUUGUUUGAGUUCUAUAAUAUCUUGCAAACAAAAAUUAGCCUCUAUAUCAUUAUAACCUUGAUUACCUGAAUAGAAA
rnacentral:lncRNA from 1 species